CCUACGGGGGGCUGCAGUGGGGAAUAUUGGACAAUGGGGGCAACCCUGAUCCAGCCAUGCCGCGUGUGUGAAGAAGGCCCUCGGGUUGUAAAGCACUUUCAGUGAGGAAGAACGCCUGGUGGUUAAUACCCAUCAGGAAAGACAUCACUCACAGAAGAAGCACCGGCUAACUCCGUGCCAGCAGCCGCGGUAAUACGGAGGGUGCGAGCGUUAAUCGGAAUUACUGGGCGUAAAGCGCGCGUAGGUGGCUUGAUAAGCCGGUUGUGAAAGCCCCGGGCUCAACCUGGGAACGGCAUCCGGAACUGUCAAGCUAGAGUGCAGGAGAGGAAGGUAGAAUUCCCGGUGUAGAGGUGAAAUGCGUAGAGAUCGGGAGGAAUACCAGUGGCGAAGGCGGCCUUCUGGACUGACACUGACACUGAGGUGCGAAAGCGUGGGUAGCAAACAGGAUUAGAUACCCUGGUAGUC
rnacentral:rRNA from 1 species